rnacentral:rRNA from 1 species
GACGAACGCUGGCGGCGUGCUUAACACAUGCAAGUCGAACGGAAAGGCCCUGCUUUUGUGGGGUGCUCGAGUGGCGAACGGGUGAGUAACACGUGAGUAACCUGCCCUUGACUUUGGGAUAACUUCAGGAAACUGGGGCUAAUACCGGAUAGGAGCUCCUGCUGCAUGGUGGGGGUUGGAAAGUUUCGGCGGUUGGGGAUGGACUCGCGGCUUAUCAGCUUGUUGGUGGGGUAGUGGCUUACCAAGGCUUUGACGGGUAGCCGGCCUGAGAGGGUGACCGGCCACAUUGGGACUGAGAUACGGCCCAGACUCCUACGGGAGGCAGGAGUGGAGAAUAUUGCACAAUGGGCGGAAGCCUGAUGCAGCAACGCCGCGUGCGGGAUGACGGCCUUCGGGUUGUAAACCGCUUUCGCCUGUGACGAAGCGUGAGUGACGGUAAUGGGUAAAGAAGCACCGGCUAACUACGU